rnacentral:pre_miRNA from 1 species
AUAAUACUCCCUCCGUCCGGAAAUACUUGUCGGAGGAAUGGAUGUAUCUAGACGUAUUUUAAUUCUAGAUACAUCCAUUUUUAUGCAUUUCUCCGACAAGUAUUUCCAGACGGAGGGAGUAUGUU